GAGUACUCAGAAGGGGACUGCCUCAACAGUGGGGAGAAAUUAGCCAUAGAUUAAAGACUGCCCUGGCUUUGUCUAUAAACAACAACAAAAGUCUUUAAAAGAUCAAACCGUUUCCAAGUAACUAAACUGAGUCCCAAAACACAGCUCGAGAAUAGUGAAAGGAAUAUAAAAAUAUCCAGGAUAAAAUUCACAAUGUCUGGCAUCCAAUAAGAAGUCAUCAAGCAGACAAAAACAAACAAACAAACAAACAAAACCCAGAAAAA